ACACCUGAGCUGGGGAGGGAGAGGGUAGGGUGGGCCAGGUACACCUGAGCUGGUGGGGGAGAGGGUAGGUGUGGCAGAAACAGAUCUGGCCCUCCCAAUGGCUGGUUUGGUAAGAUGCUGAAGACUGGGCUGGGCUGGGCUUUCUCCUCACAGAGAUAUGGGCUUGCCCUCUGCCUGCUCAGAGGAGCCUGAGGCAGCCCCUUCUGUCCACCUGCAGGACUACUCUCCUAAACAGAGCCUGAGGACACAGCCUGCGGAUGCCAGAUGAAGGAUAAAACAGAAUCACGUUGAAGUUGUGAUGGGUAUAGGAUAAGAGUGGCGAGGCCUCACUGGCUGGGGUCCAUUUUGUAUAUAACUUUUAUGACCAAGAAAACCGUAAUUAUCUCACGCAUCAGCCUUCGGCGCUUACACAGUCCUCUCUUUUUUUGUUGUUGUUGUUAUUUAUUUUAAACGGGGCAGGGCCCUGUUUUGGGGAGGGGCGGGAAAGAGUAUCAUGGGAGAUGGUAACCAUGGUAACACCUUAUUCUAAUGAAAUGUAGAUUUUUAUUUUCUACUUUUGAUGAUUAACAUCCUAUAAAGAAAAUUUAAAAUAACCCAACCAAAACCAAUGUGAGCCCUGCCUGCUCGGACGCCUCUCCAGCCAGUGUCUCUGAUGUUGGGGUUAGUGCCUUAGAGGGUACUGGGGGUCCAGUCUUCCUGUUCCAUUGUUGGAACUGAAGCCAACUCUGUCCUGUGCCACAAGGAGCCCACCCUCAGCAGCCUGGGCCACCAGGUUCCCACAGGAAGGGCUGGAGGGGCCAGGCUGUCUCGUGUGCACACUUCUGGAAGGGAACCUUUCCAUAGGGCUUUCCAAAGUUUACAUUUUCAUUUUCCUUUUUCAGGGAUUUAUGGGGUUGGGAGGGGCAAGGGGACGCCUGACAACAUAUUUUCUGUGAGAAUAUGUUUGGCAAAUCAUUCUUCAAUUGUGUUUUAGAAGAGGUUUUAAAAAAAAUGCUGUGACGAUCUCGGGAGAGCAUUGUAGUGCUGUCAGUCUUCCAGGCGCGGAGACGCUGCAAGGGAGAACGCACAAAGCAGACUCGAGGAUGGCAAAGCUGUGUCUGAAGCGGGUACACAAAGAGAAGGAAAAGAAAAAUGGGUGUGUGGCACACAGCCUCCCCUCCCUCUGGUAGGAACCCCCCUCCCCCCAUGGGUAAUCUGAAACUCUAUCAGCCAGGCAGCCUCCACCACCCGGAGCACUUCCGGAUUAAACUGCCCAACACAGAGCAGUGCACUUCUGAUCCAAACAGGGGAUUGGGGUUCAUCUUUCCUGUCGACUUCCUGGCGUGGACCCUGGGUCUUACGGAUCAUGGGUGGGAUGGCUCUGUCCCUCAGACAGCUGGAAUAUCUACACUGACUUGCUUGGCUUGGGUGGGAGCUGCCAGUCAAGAGGCCCAGUGUGGAAUGGAUGGUCCCAUUCCCAGAGCUUCGUUAGACAGCCUGGAGAUGGCUGGCCAGGCCAUCGGGAGGUGGGCGAAGUGGUCACUCUCAGCCUUGGGGAGCCGAGUAGCUACACUGUAUUGUCACAGUGUGUUUGCACUUUUCAGACCUUCUAGCCGGUAUAGAUUGUAUAUUGAUGGUACAUAUCGAUUUGUUUGUGUCUUUGAGAGAAAGGCUGGAAGCUUGAGAAUAUAUAUUUGGAAUAUAAUGUUCGAGCAUUUUCUGUACAUGUGUUAAGAGCCUUCAGUCCAUGUGUGCUUCAGGGGUCACUGGUUCCAGUAUCUUCUUGAGAAAGUGUCUACAUUGCUAUUUUACCGCCCCGGUUUGAUACACACUCCAUUCGAUGUUUUGGUAUUUGGAGUUGAUCUCUGAUAUAAAGCUGUACCAUAUGCAGGAUGUCAGUUGUGGUGUGACUGGAUGUACUUGCAUCAAUAAAAGAACAUGUUGCUCUUCUCCCUUGC
rnacentral:lncRNA from 1 species